GAACUAUAUAUGAAUAUGUUUUGAAAACAUGUUUUGAGGUAACUCGUAGUUUU
rnacentral:tRNA from 1 species